rnacentral:rRNA from 1 species
GAUGAACGCUGGCGGCGUGCUUAACACAUGCAAGUCGAACGGAAAGGCCCAAGCUUGCUUGGGUACUCGAGUGGCGAACGGGUGAGUAACACGUGGGAGAUCUGCCCUGCACUCCGGGAUAAGCCUGGGAAACUGGGUCUAAUACCGGAUAGGACGAUGGUGUGGAUGCCAUUGUGGAAAGUUUUUUCGGUGUGGGAUUAGCUCGCGGCCUAUCAGGUUGUUGGUGGGGUAUUGGGCUACCAAGGCUUCGACGGGGAGCCGGCCUGAGGGGGUCGACGGUCAGAUUGGGCCCGGGCUACGGCCCAGGCUAGUACGGGGGGCAGCAGUGGGGAAGACGGAACAAUGGGGCAGAGCCUGAGGGAGCGAGGUCGCGGGGGGGAUGACGGCCUUCGGGUUGGAAACUCCUGUCGCUAGGGACGAAGCAUGUUUGUGACGGUACCUGGAGAAGAAGCACCGGCUAACUACGUG